AUGUCAACAAAGGGAAACAUGCUGCUGGAUUUUCAGAAAAAUCACCAAGGGGUCUGGCUGGAGAAUGAAGCCAGACAUGCGUCUGGUCACCUACCUGAUGGCUUCUCCCUUCGGGGAGAGGUUGCUCACGAUCACAGCAGGUCCUGGGCUCAGAAGAAAGAAAGGCUCAGUGAAGUCAAGGGGCCUAUUCAGAACUACUGGAAGCCCAGACUUGCUGCCUUUUCACCCAGAACUCUUUCCAUCAUUUCACAGCUGCCUUCUCCUAAGUGUCCUCAUGAGCUUGUAUCAUCAUCUGUAAGGUUGGGCCUGGACCUCAAAAGGUGGAUUCUGGACCUCAGAAAGAUUAAAAGACAUGGACCAUGGCCAGGGGCAGUGGCUCAUGCCUGUAAUCCUAGCACUUUGGGAGACCGAGACAGGCAGAUUGCCUGAGCUCAGGAGUUCAAGCCCAGCCUGGGCAACAUGGUGAAACCCCGUCUCUACUAAAAUACAAAAAAUCAGCCGGGCAUGGUGGCAGGCGCCUGUAAUCCCAGCUACUCAGGAGGCUGAGGCACAAGAAUUGCUUGAACCCAUCAAGCAGAGGUUGCAGUGAGCCGAGAUUGUGCCACUGCACUCCAGCCUGGGCAACAAAGCAAAACUCUGUCUCAAAAACAAAAAAACAACAACAAAAAAAGACAUGGUCCCUGGUUGCCAGGUAUGAGAUGAGAGAAGAGCACAGGUCUCCAUCUCCCCCUCAGUUCACAGCACUUUUCUCCCGGGAUGUCUUUUUGGCAUCUCCUACACUAGGUGUAGGGUCCUGCUGUGAUCUCCAUAGCACUCUGCCCUUUCCCGAGCACAGCAUUUCUCACUCCACGUUGUAAUUGCUUAUUGGUUGUUCAUUUCCCUUAACUCACCAGAAGCUUCUGCAGGACAAGAACAACUUUUCCUGUAUUCACCAUUGAUUUUCCAGUGUUUGGUGUAUUGUAGGUGUUUAACAACGAUUUGCUGAAUUAUUGAUUGAAAGAAAGAAUAGAAAGAUGGAUGGAGGGAUGGAUGGAGGGAUGAUCAUUUAUCAGCUCUUCAGUUACCAUGUCUCCAAGUAAUUGGGUAAUUUAUCGUUCUAUUCCUGACAAGCUAACUUACCCAACUUCCCUAGUUUGUCAGCAGUACUAUCAAAAGACAGUAAGGUGGGCCGGGCGCGGUGGCUCAAGCCUGUAAUCCCAGCACUUUGGGAGGCCGAGAUGGGCGGAUCACGAGGUCAGGAGAUCGAGACCAUCCUGGCUAACACGGUGAAACCCCGUCUCUACUAAGAAAUACAAAAAAUAGCCGGGCGAGGUGGCAGCGCCUGUGGUCCCAGCUACUCCGGAGGCUGAGGCCGGAGAAUGGCGUGAACCCGGGAGGCGGAGCUUGCAGUGAGCUGAGAUCCGGCCACUGCACUCCAGCCUGGGCUACAGAGCGAGACUCCGUCUCAAAAAAAAAAAAAAAAAAAAAAGACAGUAAGGUGUAAAAGUUUGAAUCUCCUGACUUUAUACUCUGCUUCAAUCAUUUACUAACCAUGGGAUGAUAUGCAAUUUAUUUAAUCUUGUUAAACCUCAGUUUCUUC
rnacentral:lncRNA from 1 species